GAAUGAAAGGAAAGGUUGCAGUUAACACUGAUGUGUUGUGUGUCAAGUUGAUAAGGGGUCAAUUGUGCUGGCCAGUUUUAUAUCAAUUUGACACAAGCUGAGAGAAGGGAACCUCAACUGAGAAAAUGCCUCCAUAAAGAUGAGGCUGUAGGCAAGUAUGUAGGGCAUUUCUUUAAUUAGUGAUUAAUGUGGGAGUGCCCCAGCCAUAAUGAAUGGGGCCACUUACGGGCUGGAGUCCUGGGUUCUGUAAGAAAACAGGCUGAGCAAGCCAUGAAGAGCAAGCAAGCCAACAAGCAGUAUUCCUCUAUGGCCUAUGCAUCAGCUCCUGCCUCUAGCAGGAGCUAUUUGAAUUUCUAUCAUAACUUCCUUCAGUAAUGGACUAUGAUGUGAAAGAAUAAGCCUACAAAACCCUUUCCUCAAAAGGCUUCAUCAAGAGGUAUUUCUCAUAGCAAUAGUAGCCCUAUCUAAGAAGCUCUCUACCAAGGAGAGUAAGAGAAAAACAUUUGGUAUCCAGAUAGAGUAUAAGUGGCCCAGGCAGGGUUAUAGAUAACAACUCCUGGGUACUUGGCAAUAAAGGAGAAUACAUCACAGACAUAUUCAACCAGUCACGAUGCAUGGCCUUGAGAAAGCUCAGAUAAUCUCUGGUGCUAACAAGCUGAUAGCCAGACAAGAUGUAUUUUUGGCACCAUUAUUAAGGAAGAAGAUCUCAUUCAAGAUUGAGAGUGUCACAGCUCUGAACAAUGCUGGUGGUGAGGAGUUCUGGCAUUUAAGGAGCUUAACACCAUGGGAAAAACAGACAUGUCUCCAAUAAAGUUGUAAAUGAGAAAAAUCAUUUGAGGCCGGAUAAAACACCAACUGUCCAGUACUUAUAAUUAUAAGCUUUCGUUACAGAGUCUCAUACCUCCUAUGGCUCUUGGGCAUUUUAUAUUAUGGUACUUUAAUCACUGUUUUUUCUACUUGUUCUAUAACUCCAUUACUGUUCAUAUUUCUCCAGCACCUAGUACAGUUCAGGUAUAUGAAGAAUCCUCAGUAAGUUACUUGCCAAAAGAAUGGGACAGAAUAUAGAUCCUCAGUACACAAACCAAACAAAACCUUGAGGAAUUAAAGUAUGCCAAAAAGGUAAAUAAUAAAAAUCUUUCAAAUAGUGGAAACAUGGGUAAACUUUCAGCAAUCUAAAUAUUUGUUCUUAUACUUAGAGAUAUGAGUAGUCUUCAUCCCUCAUAAAGGAAACUUUUUUUUUAUAACAGAUGGAUACCACUACAGAAAACCCCAACUAAUAAAAAGGUAAACUUGUGGAGCUCAGUCCCAGUGGAUUCACUUACAAAACAACUCCUGAAUGUAAGGCUCAGAGUACAUUGCAGAAGAGAGGUUGGAAAGAUUAUAAGAGACAGGGGAACCAGGAGUUUGCUGUGAGACUGUCUCCUAGUGAUGUAGAAGCUACAAUAGCCUUACCAACAUGUCUGCCUAACUGUGGGCUGAACAAGGACAACAACAAAAAACAUGUCAAAGUGGACAUGGUAAAGUCCAUGAAUCCUUAACUUUACACAAAGAACUACAAGCAAAUAGAGAAUGCUGAGAAUGGAAAAAAAAAAAGUCUUCCCCAGGGAAGAGCACACCAAUUGGUCAUUCAAUAUCAAAUGGUCAGCCCUGAAAACAUUCAUGAGUAACAAUUAUUCCUACUGAGCAGGCUAUAUUUAGGAACUUAUAUACGAUGUAACAACACUUAGUGAAAAAAGUGGCCAUGAAUUUGAAAGACAGCAAAGAGGAGUAUAGAAGGUUUGGAGGGAGGAAAGGGAAGGGAGAAAUGUUGUAAUUAUAUUAUAAUCUCAAAAAUAAAAUAUAACAUUGGGAAAAGUUCUAUUUCUUCAAUUUAAAAAUGUUUCUUCAUUGAGCACAAACUAUGUGCAUUAAAAAAAUGUAACUGUGAAGAUUAUAUUGCCCUUAUUGUGAGACUCUUGCAGAGGUACAAUUCCAAGAGUAAGUGGAAUAACAUAAUUCAGCAAUGAAUGAGGAAUAUGUCCUCUACCCUAGACUGUAUGAACAGAUCUGCAGUGUUCUUAGUGUUCAGGAGAUUUCUAUAAGACCUGUUGUUCACAUCUUAGUCUGUUAUAUAAGGUCCCAUUUUCUGGGGUGACAGAACUGUCAUUAAUCCUUUCUUAGUUGUGUUGGUAUGGACUACCCUGGAAUAGCCAAGGCUCUGGUUCCAGGCUUCAAUGUUUUGUGCCCUUUAUCAAGACCAAAUUCUGUCAUGCUCCCCAAACCUUCCCCUGACUAAUUUGUUCUUCUAGUCUUUCUGGUCUUAUUUUGGGCAGAAAGAAGUAUCAGUUUUUUCUCUAGGGAAGUCUUGCUCAUAAAUCUUCGUUUGAUCCAGAAUAAUAAUCAAUACACCUGCCACUAGCUUUCAGUAACCAAACCUUUUUGUUAGGGGCAGUGUUAUGUCUACCUCCUGGUCUUAGGUUGAAGCCUUAACCGCCAUAUCUCAAAACAUGAUUGUAUUUAAAGACAGGGUCUUUAGUAGAAAGAUAUCUGAGAUUAAAUGAAAUUUUGAUGAUAGGUCCUCAUCUAAUCUGAUCUGUUUCUGUAAGGGGAACUAUAAAGACACAAAACAGUAUGGAUAAGUGAAUAUAGUGAGAAAGCAUACAGAUGCAAGUGAACAGAGGCCUCAGGACCAGCCAAACCUUUAUCUAGGAGUUAUGGAAAAUCUUAGAAUUAUGGAAAAUAUGUUUCUGUUGCUUAAGCUUAAUUUGUGGCAUUUUCUUGUGGUGGUCUAACAGGCAACACAUUUCCCCAGUCAGUUUCCAUUCCCAGAUGUGUGGAUCUGACAAUAUCAACCAGGCAAACUGGGUGGGGUGGUAUCUGGAGUCUGGGUUCUGGUGCCCCUAGGAAGAAGCAUGAUAGAAAUAGAAUAAGGCCAAGAUCCAGGGUGACUGAAGCUUGAGCUAGGAGGAAUGGACAAGACACUCUUCCUUAUUAGGUGACUUUUGUCAAUUUGUACCCUGUUCAGGCUUUAAGACUGCUUUAUAUGUACAUUAUUAUUCAAGAAAUAAUGUGAUGAGGAUCAUGGUAUGACUAGAUGUACAUUUAGCUCAUGUUAAGUUACUGACCACUUUCCAUCUUGUUUUUCAGGUGCAGUGUGGGGGAGGUGAACCUUUAUCUUCCUUCACACAAAGUUUAAGAAUUGUGAUUGGAAAAAGGAGGGAGGGAAAAUCAUAGCUUCAGCAAAUUCAUUAUAGCUUCAUUUCACUUGACCCUCUCUGGUUCAACUGUCCAGACUUACACUGAAUCUCUCUAGGAACUCAUUCUUGGCCUAGCUCUAAGUAUAUGAAAAGUUUGCUUGGAUGGUUCUUUUGGUCCAAGUUUUUUGGAUGCUAAGAAAUCACAAAUAUGAUGUCCUACCUCAGGCCAAAGGUGCAGUACCUCAGGCUACUGGUUGGCUAGGUCAGCCCACAGAUACUAAAACCAAACACUAGCCUACUCCAUAAGUACUGUAACCAAUUACCAGGCCACAGCAUAGUCUUCAAAAACCACAGAUUCUCCUACACCUUUCUACUAAACCAUAAUGUGCAAAUAUCCUCUUCUUGACACUGAAACCUGGACCAAAGGAAAAUGGGCCUUUAUUGCUGUUCAAAUGCCAGAGUCUUAUGAACAACAAGGACCGUUGGUGGCCACUAUAACUAGGCUAGUUAAAUGGCUCCAAUGUCAGAAAGUGGAUGAUAAUAUUCCUCUUGCCCAACUGUGCAUGGUCAGAGCUAUGCUCCUAGGAUGGUACAGACACUUCAGUUAAUUUUAGUGAUACAUCAAAAAGUAACUAGAAAGCAGUGUUUUUCCAUGUCUAAGCUCACAGAAACACCCCAGUUUCUACCCCACAAUAACUUCAAAUUAAGGUUCAAAUGCUGUUAGAGAGAAGCAGGAACACAAAGUCACUCAGAUGUCAACAUGGUCACAAACAACUGGCCUCUGCUUACAGGUACCUCUAAGGUUAAAAACCUUAGUUAUAACCCUUUCUGCUGCCUGGGAGAUGCUUGUAGUGAAUGUGGCCUCUAACUCUUGGGUUCCCAGUGGUUCCUGGCAUGAGAUCAUAGGUAGUCAACACACUUCCUCUAGCUCACACUGCUACACCAGUCUUGAGUUUUAUCUUGUUUUUGGAAUCUCCAGAAAUCAGAGGUGACCUGUCAGCUAACCAUUCCCUGCAAAGGGAAGCUAGGACUAAGGACUGACACUUCUUGAGUACUCUGUGUUCUGGAGGCAGCAGGCCUCCAGCCUCAAGGACUAACAUAAAACAAGACCACCAGAUGUUUGUUAUUGAUGAUUUUGCUAUUACAAGUGGUGUCUUUUAUCUCACUUCAAAGGACUGGGCUAAACACUUGGCACUUAGCCAUGCUGGCUAAGGGGCAAAGGAACCUGAGACCAUUUCCAAGUUCUAAACCAAUUACAAAAAUAAAGUAAAAUAUUAAGAACACACACACACACACACACACACACACACACACACGGUACUGCAGGACUCUGUAUACGUUAUCUAUUUUCUUAAUAAAAUAAACAAUUUUCAAGAAGUGAUACACAAAUAUGAACAUUAAACAAACAGAUAAAUUCUGUCUCCUAAAGCUAUAGUUUUUUUUGUUUUUGUUUUUGUUUUUUUCAGAUCCUUUUAGGUAAAGGAGGCUGACAGUCAGCCCUGGGCUGAUUUCCAGGAUAACAAUCCUGGCCCAUAAUCAGUAUUCUGCAUUUCAACACAGCAGAACUGGUUGUCAUAGACCGAGAGUGUCGGGGCAGCCAGGAGGUUGCAAAACUAAAAGUAGAAACCCACAGCUCCCUUCCCCCAACCCAGCAACAGCAGCAAGCAGAUGGCAGAGGAAUUAACCUGCUUCAGACCACCAUUGCUGAGAGAGGCUGAUGUCGCUCCGCCCUGCCCCCCAUCCGCAGCCCAAGCCUGGGUGCCAACAGGACAAGCUACCACACCAGAUACAUUCAGUCGUCCUACAGGUGUUUCCAGAAACUUGACCGCAGAGCCCCCUUGAACUAUCUGAGCAUAAGGGCAGCGGGUCAGGUCAGCGAAGAUACAAAAGGAACAAACUGUGUCUCCUGGACCGAAGGGGCGUCAGGAGUCCUGCAGAGAGGAGGGUUUGGCUUUCUGGGGAUCAAGUCCCAGUGCCCGCGAGAACUUCGGGGUUUGGCUGCUGUGCCAGGGGUUCGGGGAGAGCUGCCGAAGCUCCGCCUCACAGGGCGGCCCCCUUCUGCCGGCUCCGAUCUUGGAACAGUGUUGAGGGUCUUUCUACGACCCCGCAGACAGCCUGCGUAUUGGAGCUAACCUCUCUGGAGAGAGGGUUCUCCCGAGGCGCCCUGUGUGGGAGGGGACGACCCACGCCCCCACGAAGCUUCCGCGCCGACGUCCAGAAAGGCCCCAGUGUCCCCGAUGCCUGUCCGGGCGCCUGCGGCACUUACACGCUCGUGGGUCCUCCGCUGGGCAGAAACGAAACUUUCUAGGGCCGAGCGGAAGAGUAGGCGAGCACAGAGCCGACUGCCAUGAAGCGCCCAGUAGCCCCAGAGCGCGCGCGGACUACAACUCCCGGCAUGCCUCACGGAUGGCCUACAACUCCCGGCAUGCUUCACGGAUGGCCUACAACU